GGGUGUAGCCCUCCCCCCUUAAAAAAAGAAAAUUGCUCUAUUCUAUGCACUUAAAAAUUAUUAAUAGAUCUUCUAUUCUUAAGAAAUAAAGGCCGUUUUUUUAUGUGCACGGUCAAGAGCUUCGUCGUCGCACGCUAAAGACCUUAGUUCGAUUCCCGUACGGGGAUAAACUUUUACUGACAACCUCCGUCUUCCUGCAGGGGCGUUGUCCUCUCUCAGCCCAGAUUGGCACUGACAUUGGAUUGAAGUAGCCCGUCUCCUAAAUGUUCUAAAAAAUGUCAUUUGGGAGUGUAAAAUAUCUACAAUACAUACGAUACAAAAGCUAAUCACAACAACCAAAGGAGUUUUCCAUUCUAAGAUAAUCUAAGUCUACUUAUCGGAAAGUUAAAAAUAGCUUCGGCUAUAAUAUAGCCCUCUACUCUCUACGUCUAGCACCAAAACAAGCACAGCCUCUCCUUUCCUCCCUGGUUCAGAGUUCACACUGCGAGCGGUCUUACUGCUCGCUGCUGGGCUAGUGGCCUGCCCGGCGACGAGCAAGUCAUGGGACGCAAAGCAAGUCAUGGGGCACAAAGCAAGUCAUGGGGCAACAUGGCGUCCCGUCCUGUGUCCAGCUUGGUGCUGUCUGCUAUUUGUGAUGAUCGAAGAUGCUACUUGCAUAGCCCAGGGUUCGGAUUGGGGUGAGGUGUAGGGUUUGGGGCUAGAGUUAAAGGUAAGGUUUAAUGGCUUGGGGUUAGCAUUUGGAUGCGGACUAGGGAUCGGGCGAUCCACACCCUAACUCUAACACUAAGCCUCAAUUUCUCACCCCAACCCUAUCCUAAACCAUAAAACCCAUCCCAUCCCAGGCCUGACCCCAAACGCCAAAUCCAUUGUUAGGGAUACAGAUCUAUAGAUCUGGGUAGUAAGGACUAGCGUAAGCGAACACCACCCUGCGCACUAAAAGAGGGGAAGUUGUGAGUUGUGAAUCGGGCGCAGUAAAAGGCUAAAGAAAUAGUUUUCAUUGAAGCAUCUAGAUCAGGAUCUAUUUGAAAAAGUAGACAAACCUUUCAUGCGAAAAAGUAAGCUAGAAAGGAUUGGUUAAUUGCAGUUUUCAAGGUGGUGUUCGCUUACAGUAGUCCUCACUACAGAUCUAGAUCUAAAUCUAACCCUGGCUGUGACUCGAUUGCUUGAUCGUGAAGGAUCUUUUUGUCCCGUCUUCCAUGCUAGAAGUAGAUGAGUCUACUACUAGAGUAUAGUCCAAUAUUUAAUUUCUUGAAUGGACUGGAUUCCAGAAAUCUACAACCUGCAAUUAGAGUAGGCUACAACUAGACCUAGAUUCGAGGUUUUAGUAAAGGCACAGUCUAGGGAAAACAUCAACAAAUUUGCGUCGCGGUGAGAAAAGAGGGCCAAACCAAUCUCAGAAUCGCGACUCUCACAUAGCACUUCACUUAGCCUAUGUUCCGGAAACUAGAUCAAUAAAUAGAUUGACGUAUGACCCAUGUCAAAAGUUGGGAUGUGGCUGUGGGUUGACGAAUCGGAAAUCGGAAAUGCACGACGUCGACGAUGUUCCCAAAUAUCGAAAUAAAUCGGUACAACUGCAAGAAAGAAAUGGGCAAUGCUGAGGGAUUCUUUCCGGAGGCAACAUAAGAAAGAAACAACUUAUAAAUCUGGAUCAGGGGGUAAAUACCAGAAACCGUGGUACCUGUACAAAGCCAUGCUGUUUUUAAUUCCUUUUGUUGAGGAUGGAAAUACCUCAACAACCAAUUUGAUUGAAGGGCCGGAAGAUGAGCAGGAACUCCAACAAGCAUCCCAGCUUCGGGAGGACAACGUGGAGACAAUAGUCAACACUGAUGUGUUUUCACGGGGUGGAAGUCCAUUCACAAAUCCACAACCUGGUCCAAGCCAUACUCCAGAUAUUACAAACUCAUCUGCUACUCCCAAACGGCAUGCCAGGAAAAGACCGUAUCCCCCGUAUCCCCAAGACCGAGGAUCUAGAUCUACCUCUCCAUCCGCUUUCUACAAUCCCUUAAAGGGUUGCAACAACAACAGACACAAAAACCACCCCAGGACGAUGACGAACAGUUCCUGUUGAGUUUGUUACCGGUGAUGAAAGGGCUGGACCCAAUCUCUAAAUUUGAGUUCCGUGGAGAGCUCAACAAUACAGCUCUAAGAUAUCUGCGGCGUUCGAGACAGCCAUCACCACAGUGUGAAAGCAACGAUGCAUUAUCCAACCCCAUCACCCGCAUCUUCUUCAGCUUUUGCCGAUAACAACACGUACCAAUACAACCAGUAUGUCCCAGCAACUGCAGGCUCACAAGUUGAUCCAAUGUCCUCCCCACCAGGCGACCCAUACCAGUAUCACCAGAACCAGCAAUACAAAUAAAUUACAGCAAGUUUUUUCCAUUGCA